UGUCUGGAGCUGGCCAGGGAGGCAGGUCUGGACGUGGCAGCGGUCACUAAGAUGGUGAUGGAGAACAUCAGAGAGAGACACUGAGGAGUUCGCUCAUCAUGACCUCACCCCUGCACUGGACACUGGCACCUCAGUGGAGGACCAGAGGAAGAUUGAUGUGAUAGGCCCUUUUCACGUG